GUUUAACUUCUACAUUAGAUGUAUUUAAAC
rnacentral:other from 15 species